UUAGGAUCCUGAGAAGGCAAUGUGUGAGGCUGUAAGAAAGUCUAAGCUGCAAUGGAGCUGCAAUACAAGGAUGCUGAAGAUAUCAGAUCGGUGUCUUGAUCAGCCAUCAUCAGAGAACUUUCUCCUACAGCAGAUGAGAACAAAUACAGAGACCCACACUGGACAACGAGCAGAGGGUCUGAGCUGAGCUAUUGCUCACAUGGAAACCGACAGCAUUGGCUCUCCUGGUUCUCAGGCUGCAACCGUACUCAACUUUCCUGGGUCUCCAACUAAGUAAAAGCACGCCUCAGACCUCGCAGCCUCUCUAAUUGCAUAAGCCAAUUUCUUCAUAGUAAAUCUCUUUAAAAAUGCGUAUA